UACGUAGGGGCCUAGCGUUGUCCGGAUUUAUUGGGCGUAAAGAGCGUGUAGGCGGCCACUUAAGUCCUGCGUGAAAUCUUGCGGCUCAACCGCAAGCGGUCGUGGGAAACUGGGUGGCUAGAGUGCGGGAGAGGAGAGUGGAAUUCCUGGUGUAGCGGUGGAAUGCGCAGAUAUCAGGAAGAACACCCGUGGCGAAGGCGGCUCUCUGGAACGCAACUGACGCUGAGACGCGAAAGCGUGGGGAGCAAACAGGAU
rnacentral:rRNA from 1 species